UAUAAUAAUAACCAUAAUAAUAAUUUAACAAAUAAACAUGGGUAAACAUACACUGCCCUCGCAUCCGAUUCCUUCUAUUAAUAUAAAAGGCAAUGACCCCCAUAUAAAUAACACAUAUAUAACAUAUAUACCAACAUAUUCCAACAUACCAACUUAAAGUGCCAAACAUAAACUAACCAUGGCAGGGCUAUACCCGGAUACCCCUACCCCACUAGGUUCUGAGCCACCGACAGGACUCGAAACCUACCAACCACCAAUGACCACAGUUUUCCGUCUUCAUGAUGUUCAUCCUAGGGAGCCUAUUUCUUCUCCUUCAACCCCC